GCAAGGCUCUGCUGCUCGGCCAAACAACACUGUCUCUCUCAGAGCGGCUUUCAUCUGGAAUGGGAGGUUAAGUCUGGUUAGAGGCCUGGGACCCCACACUGGGAAUUCCUGAAGACUGACUUCACAAACAGACAGCCGUUGAAUACAAGGUGAUCCUGAUGGUCUGUUUCCUGAGUUACCUGAGCUGAAUGUGCCACUCUGCCAAGGAAUGCAGGACAGGUAUUACUAAAGUUCUCAGUUAAUGACACUUCCCGAAAUGGAUGUUUGUUGACUUGAGCAUUAGGCUGCUUUUCUUACUUCCUGAAAAGGCUUAGAGGAUUCUGUUGAAAACAAAGGCUGGGGAUUUUAUUUCACACUUGACAGGACAUUUUGACUCCACUGGGCCCUUAGUCAGGACAAAUCAUGAUUAAAAAUCCUGAGCCAACAUUAGUGAAAGUGCAGCCCUGCCCAUGAUGGCAUAAGGGGCAGAUAUGGGAACAAAGGCUACAUGUUCUCUGGCUUCUUACCUGCCUAAUGAGGUUUAGUCUAUGACAAACUUAAAAAGGCCAGGUGUGCCCUGUCCCUGGCCAGGCUUAUUUUACUACAUCAAACCCCAGAGUGGAGGGUUGCAGGAAAGAGGCUAGACAGAGGUUUGUGUAUUUUUUUUUUUUAAAAAGGGGAUCACACAUCAGGCCAGACUCUUAUGAAAGGCGGCCCUGCUCCUUCUCCAGCCAUUGAAUCGGAAAUGAAAAACUCCCAAAGAAACCUGGAGCUGAAGGAAUGUGAGGGAGAAGCCAGUAGACAGGGCUGUUACUACAGAGGAAGCUUCCCCAUAUAAGGAAGUCUGCUCUUUUCCUAAUAUGGAUAUGUUCUUUCUCUAUGCUGUCUCAGUAUAGUAGGGACUCCUGACCAUCUGAGCGAGGAAAAACACAGCCGUGAGUGAAAGUGGUGUGUGUGUGUGUGUGUGUAUGUCUGUGUGUGGAGUAUUCUGUCUCUCAGAACAGACCCGAGAAAGUGUGUGUGUGUGCUGUCAGUCAUUACAGCCUCAGGGCCCAAACUCCAUAAUAUCUAAAGGAAACAGCUUGAUGGAGGAACGUACUCUGGCCACGCUGCAAAACAACACUCAAACUUGGCUGACAUUUGUAUCUUACGUGCGGAGUACUGCAACUUCUGUCAGGUUGUUUAUUAAGUCAAUUUAUCUUACAUCAUAAGCAAUUUUAUGAAUGGUUGUAAGGAAUGUCAUUUGAAAAUAAAGUGAAAAUCUUGUUGUAAUUGUCAUGAUUUGGCUGAUUUAACUCAUUUUAAUGCCUUUUAAAGACUGCAAGACAUUUUCUUUUUAUCAGAUAGCAUUACGUCUGACAGAGUGAUGUAUUAAAGGUACUGUAUAUCUGAGUGGUAUACUCUGACAACUGAGUCUAUAAAUUGCAAGAUUAUCAGAAAACAAAGUAAAUGUUAUAUGUUCAGGAUCAUUUUAAGGUCAACAGAAAGCUAUUCCUGAUUGGUUCAUCUUGGACAGUCAUCGCAUUAUUGUAACUGAAAGUUAGGAAACUGGAUGCUGUUAUGAUGCUGGUUGUUUUGCUGUCAGACUGUAAUGUUCACUGAGCUCUGUCUAUCAGUCUCAGGGUUUCCUGUGCUGAAUAUCAGUAGGCUGACUGGCCACAUGCUCUCUGUUCUGCAGAUCUGGAUGUGUGGAUGGGUUGACUGUGGUGGCCAAAGGAAACAUAUGGCUCUGUGUGUGGUAGAACCAGAUAUGUCAAGGCUAAGUAUAGACCAAGCUAUUUGUCUAAGAGUAGCUGUGGGUUUAAAUCAGUAAUGGAACUGUGCUGGCGAUAUGUCAGGGGAGUCCGUUCAGCUUUGUGCUUGUUGGCAUCGUGUUGUUAAACAUACCUGCGUGCAAGCUGUCUGACCUUAUAUCUUCUACACUUUUACACGUUGGAAAAAUGAAUGUUCUUUGAGCUAACCAACGCACUGAUACUGUUAUGGUCACAAUGAAGUUGUUAGAUAACUUUAUGUGUUUUAAUAAUAAGAUUUAACAGUAAAAGCCAAAACAUGUUCAGCUUUAAAUUUAUUUUUAAACUGGUGGACCUUUUGUUGUUAUGUACCAGUGGACGUGAAUAAAAACUCCAACCAAUAAAACCAUCACAAUAUAAGGCCCCUCCACCUCCCCCAUAAAAUAAAAUGCCCUUUAUUUCCUUUAAACUCCAAUAACUAGGAUUUUUAGCUGUAAACAGUGUUUGUGUCUACCUGAUGAAUGUAAGUCCAAUAUUGACUUGAUAUUUUUAGCUCUGUUUUGGUCUACACCAGCUUCUGAGAAAUAUCUGACUCAUUAGCUAAAUACUACGCUAUGUUCACCAGCUGAUCACUAACUUUGUCUAUCUAUAAUUUUGGGCUGGACAGGUAGUGUAUAGUAGAUUUUCAGAGCUUCAUCACUGAAAACAGCUGCCUGCUGUGGCCAAAAAUGUUGUUGAUGAGUGCGGUGAGAGUCAACCAAAACAAUGAAUUUGUGGGCCAGAAAACCAAAAUAAUGAAAGAUGCUAAAUUGAUCCGAAGAGCUGAGGGAAGCUGCAGAGUGGUGUGAUAAUUCUCGGUGGGUUCUUCACUACAAUCAACCCCUUUCACAUACAAGUAGUCAUGUGAUCUAAUAUAAAAAUAUUGAUUAUAGCCACUUUAAAGACUGUUUAAUAAUCUCACCCUGUACUGACGUAUUGCAACAAUGUGUUUCUAGAGGAAGUACGUCAAGUAAAAGUCACAACUUGAUGCCUAGCAUGCUCUUAAAAUUGAUUUGUGUUGCCAUCAUUGGUCUAGAGAAGCCUUUUAUCAACAAUGUAAAAGUGUAAAUAUGGGCAAACUAGGUGACAGAUGACAGAAACUGUAACAGCAAUAACUGAUUUCUGGCUUUAGUCAUUCCAGCAUUGCAGUAACAGGGGGAAGAGUUGACAUACUGUAUACAGUAACACUGAACACUGGGAUCGUGCAUCAUGCUGAUGUAUUGUUUCACAGUUUAAUAUUUUUCCAAAUGAAAAUGUACCCCCGAAGACUACGAAGAGAAUGAACUGAUGGAGUGACGUUCCUAAAUUAGCUCUGAAGUCAUACUGAUUUAAGGUUAUGUGACUCGUGUAGGAAUUCCAGGUCAAGGCCUGCCGUCUAUCCUAGUCUGGAUUUACGCACAUUACUUCUUGCUGCUUAUAGCCGCAUUACUUCACUGCUUGUUUCAUAGCUACUGUGUGACAUCACGAGGCUACAGAAGCGUGUCAGCUGGGAAGUUUCCAACUUUAGGAUCUGUGGAGAUGACAGACUCAGUGCCUGACCAGGCUACAUUUUUAUAUGCCCACAUCAGGCUCUGAUGACGACACUGUCCUCGUUUAGUCUCUCCUUCAGGCGUGGAAAGUGGAUAUUGUUCCCAGUUUUCAUCAACACCUCAUGUGUGUGCAGUUCCAUCACACUGUGGGUGAUGAUGUCAUACCUGAUGCUGAUGUCACAGAGGAGGCCUCUGUGUCCUGUGGGACCUCUUUUAGCUGUUUCCAUGGUUCCCACACACUGCUCGUAUUCAGUACAGUGAAUACGAGCAGUGCAGUCAUACCUUCCCAUCACUUUUAAAGCUAAAUAGAAAGAUAAACAUCAACAGUAAAAACGGCCAGUCUGUCACACCAAACACUAGACUUUAAUUUCACAGUGAACAUUUUUAGCAGAUGUAGCAUUUCAGUCUUUAAUUUGCUUUUGUGUACUUUUUAUUUUAUGCCAGUUAGAAAAAAAUGUGUGGAUACAUUUAUCCAAACCAUACUGCAGAUUUAGCGAACUUUAUAUGUACACUUAGUUUAUUAGAUAAACCUAGUUAAAAUGUAGUCUAAUGCAACAGCCCUACAAUGAAUCCCAUAUUCAUAAAAAAUAUUCAGUUAAUUUAAAUUUUGUGUCAUUUUGGAGGCUGUAGUUUAAACUGGCAACUAAGUGUAUAUGUACAUGUAUAUGUAUAUAUGUAUAUGUAUAUGUAGGCUAACCCAGAGUGUUCUUUCCCAAAUCGGGUCCAUAUUUGAAUCUUUGGUUGUGUUAUCUGCACUCAGCUGUCCAUUUAACUAAAUUACAUAAGUGGUAGCUGGCAGCCUAUUUGAGGAAUGUUCCUUGGCUUUAGCCUUCAAACCAACCAUCAUAUGCCACUGUGUAAACUGCACAUGAAACCAACAUCUCAAAAUGAUUUUCCUGCCUGUAUAUUUCUGCUUCUUUGAACUCCUGGGCUGCCUGCAGAGAGAUGGUGAGGGUGGAGAAGCUGAAAACAACAUGGUGUGGCAAACAGGAGGGAAAAUACUUUUAUUUUGUAAUUUAUUGACAUUUUAGGCAUUUCAGUCGACUUUCAACUAGCGCAAUGGAAAAAUAAGCACAUAUUUUUAUGUCAGCAUUGCACACAGCCACAAAUAAGGAAUGCAGAACAAGGGAACAACUCUGCCAAGACAGUAGAAUAAGUGCAUAACAUUACAGUGUCAUCUGCAGUAUGUGUUUCAUCAGCGAAGCAAACAGGCUAAUAUAGACAUGCUGGGAAAGUAAAUCGCUGCUUUCUUUUACAAUUUGGAGCCUGUCUGCAAAAACACUUAGAGGGAAAAUUUUUAAUGGAUGGGAUGAUGAUCUGUUGACAUUUAACAAUGGAGAAGGAACAGGUCAAUUACUGAGAGAUGGAAGAGUUGGAAACUGAUGGAAACGUUUUGAAGCCUGCCUUUGAAGAGCCAAGCAGUGGAAACUAAUAAUGCAUUUGGAGCCUGGGAUGAUUAGUUGAGAUUUAACAAUGGAGUUGGUGGGCAGAUGAACUGUCAAGAUGGAAACUGUGUCUAUUUAAAGCCUAGAGUGGUGGAAAAUGUUCAGACUGGAAACAUGCAUGAGACCCAAUCUUUUUCAGGCACAGCCAGCACGAAAUAGUUGAGUCUAGGAUUACUUGGGCUAAUGGGCCGAGGUAUAAUAUAUUGACCGUUAGGUGCCAGAGGGGCAUAGUUGGGAGGUGGAUUGCAUUUUUUGGUCAAAUUUUCUCAUAAAUCAUUUAGUUAGGGUCAUCUAGGGGAAUGCAUUUGCCAGUCUGUGUUAACAAGGGAGAAGAUAUUUCUUUCAUGUGCCUUGGACAAAGCAUUUUUGACUGGCUGAAGCUCACAGGUGGAAACUAGCACUGGGUUGAGUGCAUGGGAACAUUUGUACAGAUAUAACAAGGGGGGAUCGUAGGGUGGCUGAAUUGUCAAAUGCAGAGAGAGAGUGGAAAGUGCCUUUUUAAAAACCUGUGUCCUGGAAAGUGUUUAGACUAGAGACACUGAUGAGAAUUUGGCCUGUAACUCUUUCAACAAACAGCAGAAACUCAUCUCAGCUGUAGAUUUACUGCCACACACAUGGAUAUGGAAGUCAGGUGGUCUUAACUUAAACACAGCUCCAUGUGCGUCCAGGAUGGCCUUUGUUAUGUUUCGGUGACCUGUCAGCUGGAGGUUGAGGGGGUUUCUAAUCUUAGACAUCAUGUCUGACACACUUAGUUAGUAAUGACCAAGGGCUUCCUCCUCUCGAAGUCAUAUUGAACCAUGAUGGUCAGAGGAAACCAGGCAAAGUCUUGGGGCAACCUGACUUCAAUUCUGCCCAUUGUGCCAGCUCUCCAUCAUCACAAAGCCAUCGCCAGUAAAAUCUAAAUCAACUGCCUUUUUCAAAUUUAAAGAUACCAGUACUGAAUCAAACAGUGAGGAUCAUAUAGUGUCUAUGACCCUAAAGAUGGUCUGCCCUUCACAGGUGAUGGUUUCUAAAUAUAGUGUGGGUCCGGCCACACACAGUGCUACAGCUACAAUAGAAGCAUUUAACUGGAGCACAUUGAGAAUGACUAAGCUUGUUAGUUUGUUGAAGGUCUGUUCGUUUAAAGGAAUAGUUCAACAUUUUUGGGAAAUACGCUUAUUUGUGUCUUCCCGGGAUUUAGAUGAGAAGAUCAAUACCACUCUCAUGGCCGCUCAUUAAGUAUGGAGCUAGAGCCAGGAGGUGAUUAGCCUAGCUUAGCAUGAAGACUGGAAGUAGGGGGAAACAGCUAGCCUAGCUCUGUUCAAAGCUAAAAAAUGUGCCUACCAGCAACCCUAAAACUCACUAAAUAACAUGUUAUAUUCUGUUUGUUUAAUCGAUGCACUAACAGAAAUGAAAAAUGAAAACAAGUUUUAUGUGGUGGAAUACAUUUUGAGAUGUCACAGUAGAAAAAUCACAGUGUCAAAUGUUUUUCAUCAGAAAAAAACAGAAAAGGCAUACUCGUCUACUUGCAAUGUGAAAGGAGUCCAUUGCCUAUUUUUAGUAGGUUUACCCACGGUUAAAAAACCUGCACAUACGUGCUAAUUUUGGUGUAAAAGGGUAUUAUAAAACAGAGCCAUCCUUAAUGUUAUCAGUAACACCUGUGCUUUGAGUCAAAAUGUCUGCUGUGAAAAAGGUCUUGUAACUAGAGGUGGACGGAGAAACUGUUGUUCGUCAAGAAAUAGUUAGAGCAUAUCACUCCAAGAUACAAAGUGUUAAUUAGUGAGUUUCAGAGGGCCAGGCUAGCUGUUUCCCCCUGCUGCCAGUCUUUGUGCUAAGGUAGGCCCACAACCAAUCACAUGGCAAAACUGGAGGUGAAGAUGUAUUGCAAGCUGAUAAAUUAACAUUUUGACAAGUUCAGCUGUGUACACUGUAGCAGCUAAAAUCAAAUGCAGUGCUUCUUUUUGGUCAAAUUCUAGUUGUUUUACCUGUGUGAACCUAGAAAAUUCAAUCUUGUUCACCAACAGCAGGAGGUGGUGCAUUGAGUGGAAAUGCCAUUAAAUUUUGCCAUCCAGCCUACACUCAGUGUUGGAAGAAGCCAUUCUUUUUGCCAUAAACCUGCCAUUUUGCCUUUGUAAAUAUGCCAAAUUUAAAAGCUUUUGGGGAUCACAUUACAUUACAUUCAUGUUUAUAUGCAAUUGUGAAAUGCGGCUUACAAUAUGUGCAUUUAACCUCCAUAGGAAUGAACGCUAAAUGUCAUCAAAUUACUGCCUUAAGAGACACAUUGCUGAAAACACAAUGCCUGCAAACCACUGUUUUUUAAAGGUACAGCACAAUCUGCAAGUGCUUUUCUCUUGCACUUUCAUGGCAUCAGGCACAUUACACUGUUUUGCCUGAUGAGGUCCAAGCCAACUAGCCAUUUUUGAAGUGGACGCAUCUGCAGCAGUGAGUCUCUGAAGCACCACAAUCAGUCACUGUUGCUUUUUCGAUUUCAAAGUGACUUUUAUCAUCUAGUUACGGCAGGACAAAUAAACUCGGCAGGUUUUCAGUGUUCUCAAAUUUACUCACCUUGUGGUUCACUGAGCCAGACCACAUCCUAACUUUUUUCAAUAUUUGAAUUUUGAAAAAAUAUUGACAAUAUUUGAAAAAAUCCAUGUUGUGAACUUGAAUUGAAAAUCUUGUGGCUCACACAGAGUAAUGUAAAUACAUAUUCUGUAGCUUUCUGAGGCCACCGCGUCUCUGCAGGAAUGUCAGCUUCCCCCUAUUAGCUUGGCACACGUCUGCAUACCUCAGCUAAUUAGCUUCCUGUAAAAGCCUUGAAUAAAAACAUCGGCUUUAAUCACACGCUGCUGCUUUGUCUCAUUCACUGCCAAGGUAAAUGUUACUUCAAGCAGAGAAAAAAACGGACAUUUUGCUUUGUGGGUUUCUGUUUCCCAGACAGGUGUUUCAAUCCGUGAUGUGCAGUUAUCCAGGUCAAGACUUCACCUUAACAUUCCUCAACAUCAAAUAAACUCAGACUGUUUUUCUAUCGUUAGCUUUUUUUUUAAAGUCCUUCAUUUAAAUUCAUGUGCUGUUUUUCUGAGGUUGCCUGAGAUGUCAAACUGGUCUUAAAAGUGUGUGUACUUAAUGUUUUACUGGAUGGUUAUUUACUGGCUUUCAGCAGGAGAACUGUGCUCUCAUACAGUAUCAUAUAAAGCUUAGUAGCUGUUUUUACAGUUUGUUUGUUUACUGUCAGAAACAGAGUGUUCCUGCGACAGAGCUUGUUGACUAUAGUUUCUGAUUAUUUAGCAGAUGCCUGCCAGUAACACAAAUCUCAAUAUACUGUACCUCAAUCAAACAUACCAAUUAUUUACAAGCUACUUGUUUACCUCAUAUAUGAACAUAUACCCUCUCACAGACCUUUGUUGAUUUAGAGGGGGGGAAAUUACAGCAACGGCUAAGUCAUGGACAUUUUUAUGUGUUUUUGUUGGAUGAUUCCCUAUAGUCAUAAUGGAUAAUGGUUCAAAGUUCAUUCUUGAUCUUGGAAACAAUCUCACUUCAAGGUCCAGUUGGUAGCUGUUGCUGAGCUUUUGAUCAUAUCACAUGAUCAUAUGAUGAUACGAUAUGGCAAACUUGUCUGCAAACUCCAGCAACAUUAGCAUUAAUUUGGAGUCGUGUUUCUGGCUGCCUGAUGAGUCCAAUAUUCACUCUCCUUUUAGCUCUGAUUGGUCUCCUCCUGAAGGAAAUAUCUAGCUCUAUAGCUGCUAAAUGCUCCACUAUGUUCAACAGCUAGUCACUGUGUCUACCUGCUGUUUGGUGCUGGGCAGGUAGUUAGUGUGAGUAGUACAGUGAGUUUAUUAGGGCUUUUUUGCUGAAAAAGUUGCUGAGGAAACUCCUUCUGCUGAUGAAGAUCAUAUUAUAUAUAUGAAAGAUCCAGAACAGCUACAAAAUGGAGUUAAGAUUGUUUUAUUGACACUGUCAUAUUAAUGGAUGAUUAAUAAUAGAAAGGGAUAAUAAGUGUUUUUGUACACUGUCUAAUGUAAUCAAAAUAGUAGCACUGUAUGACUCUAGCAACUGUAUGAAUAAUGGCAUAAAUUCAUAAACUUCAAACCUGUGGUUUAAACACAAAACCUGCCCACAGAUUCUGCUGCCCAUGCUGGCACUAACAUCAACGCAAAGAAAAAAACCUUCGAUUUGACGGAAUAAUGUUCAAGCCACAAACGCUCUUAUUAGGGAAGUGUGCAAUGAGUCCCUUUCAUCACUGCUGGAGCUUUGGCUUUACAGAUGAAAACCCAGUUGGACGCUUUGGCAUCGACAACCAAAAAAAAAACAGCGUCUGUGUGGUGUCAGGACCGAAAGAACAUUGAAAGUCAACAACAGAACUGUCCUCUGAUGGAGAUGUUAGUGCUGAACACUGCAAAAAGGGAACACCGUUUUGAGAUGACUAAUCGGAAAGAACAAAAGGUGAAUGAUUAGCGCGAGGAGGACUGUUCCUUCAUAAACAGCUGUGAAAAUAUUGCUCUUCGAGGGCUUUCCCUUUUGCUAGGCUCUCAAUGUGAACACACAAAUGUGUUCUUAACUCAAUAAAGGAUUGAAAAACAAUAUUAUUAGCUGCUGCUUCAUAAGAUGAUGAUGGAAUAAUGAACUGUGCUUUUGUGACUGGUGGUUUUGGUGAGCAAACUGUUCCCAAUAAACUUGAUACUUGAUAAACUUGAUAGAACUGCGCUGUGCCUUAUAGAAACAGCCUGGCCAGGGUUCCCAUCUGCUCUAAUUGUUUCCAGAUAUGCAGUUUCUGCACAGUGGCUAGCAGGACCCCUCCCCGUCUGUCUGUGUGUCUGGAGCGAAAGGCCUCUCCCCAUCUGUCUGCGAGCUGCAAGCAUACCUGCCCACUCCACACUGACAGUGGAAAAUAUUAUGCUCAUCCUCUUCACAACAACAUGGAAUAUUCCCCAGCUGGAACAGUGGAAGGUGGAUUCUACAGCAAAGUGAAGAGGAAGUGAUGACGGAGGAAGGAGUCAUCGCUCAGCUAGCUGUCAAACCGACAGCAGACAACCCAAGUUUCACAUGUUUCUCCUACCUCAGCACAGACAGCAAGAAAUGUUUUCCACUCUAAACUGCAGUGAAUCAGAACAUAAAGCAAAAGUUAUAAAAUAGUGUAGUGUGAUUAUAAUGUGGAUAACAGCCAAUCUAAGCAAGGCUGUUUCCUCAACAAAAACAUUUCUAUUUCUUUCUUAAAAAUCAGAAUAUUAUAUAUCUGACAUCAGCUUAAAGGAAUAGUUUGACAUUUUGGGAAACACUUUUAUUUGCUUUCUUGCUGAGAGUGAGAUGAUAAGAUGGAUACCACUCUCACAUCUGUACGCUAAAUAUGAAGCUACUGCCAGGAGAUGUUAGCUUAGCUUAGCAAGAUAAGAUGCCAGGAAGUCACUGUGCCCAGCCAAGAAAUAGUCCAACACAUACCCUUCUGUAAAACCGUGACUUGUCGGUUGACACUUUUUGUACGGAUUUAACAGACAAGAUGUAACACAUUAACUUUAGAAGUUCUGGUAGGCAGAUUUUACUUUUGGACAGAGCCAGGUUAGCCCUUGUUUUCAAACUUUAUGCUAAGCUAACUGUCUCCUGACUCCUGCUUCAUAGAGAGUGGUGUCAAGUUGUUAAUCUAACGCUUAGCAAGAAAGCAAGUAAGUGUAUUUCCCAAAAUGCCGAAUUAUUCCUUUAAGUCUCCACAAAUGUACUUCAUAUAGGUUGUCAGCUUUCAAAUAAAAUGUGCAAAAUACAACUAAAACUCAGUUUACCCUUCAGUACAUCUUUGGUUGAAGUAAUGACAGCAGUCUUAAUCAAGAGCCAAAAUGCAACACAGCAACAUGCUGUAAUGUCUGCUUUAAGGAUUAUUAGUUUGUCAGAUUUACAGAUCUUAAUCCAGUUAUGGCUCAUGCAUCAUCAACUGUGAGUUCACUGCUAUUUUUCCAGCUGUAUCUAGUCCUGCAUAGUGUAUAAAUUCAUCUGCAGCUGAGGAGGAGGAGGCGAUGACGCAGGAAGAAACUAACACUCGGGUAUCUGUCAAAUCAGUGGCAGCAAACUAGGAUUUUUUACAACUCAUGUAAUGCAUUUUGUAGACGUGACAUACUGACCGGGUAUUACCAGAAUGUAUAGUAUUUUCAUUGCUAGAUUGAAUUAUAGCAUUCUUGCUUCAACUUCUGUUCCUGUUUCCCCCAGCCCACAUGUGUCCUUGGACAAGACACUGAACCCUAAAUUGAAUGAAUAGUUAGUUUCUUUGGACUGAUGAGCAGUUAGCAUCUGCCAUCAGUUAAUGAAUGGGGUGAAUGUGACAUGUAGUGUGUGAAGCGCUUUGAGUGGUCGGAAGACUAGAAAGGCGCUAUACAAGUACAGUCCAUUUAUCAUUUAGCUAAACAGGAAAAACCAGGUACCAAACCCAGAUGGGGGUCACCAGACAUUUAUUACUCACUCCUCAUAUUUCUAAAUUUAGCAAACAAGAUUUAAAAGCUGGACUAAAUCACUUCUUAAGGACAUUUUUACAGUUUAGACUCCUCCAGGAUCAAAUAUGGAGGCUCCGUUAACUAAAACUGAGCCCCUUCACUUACAGUACAAUGAUUGAAGGGUGCGACAGUUGCGUAACUACAAGGUGUCAUGUGAUGCUGUGUGAAUAUGAAGCCUUGUCCCACUGAGGACAGCCUUUCCAGGGCACGUCUGACAGGUAGGUGUUCUGUCAUAGCGUUCCAAUACACAGCCUGUCUCGGAGGCCCGUUUUUCACUCUCUCUGGUCCUAACACAUUUUUCCUUUUACCCUUCAUAUGCUCAUUUUAGUUAAUUAUCCUUGAAGUUUCCAAAUAGUUUUUCUCACCUAAUCUGAUUUCAGUUUUGACAUUUUUUCCUUUUCUUUGUCUCCUCCACCCAUCUGGUUUCUCUUUUUUCUCCCCUUGCGUCUGAUAGCCAAAGAUCUUUUACUAGCUCUUUGUUUUAUAUCACACAUACAGUACGUAGUGUUCUUUAUUUUGCUACCAGGUAUGUUUUGUGUGUACAUGCAAAACUUAAAUCUUACUUUGCACUUUCACUAAGCAUGUAUAAACUGAAGGUUGCACCUUCC